AAAAACCCAAACCCAACCCAAGACCAUGUCAUCACACUCCACCCAAGCCACUCAACAAUCUCCCCAAAAUAGUUGGGACAGCUCACCAGCUCAAACCACCCUCCUCUUGGUACCUUGUACCCACCAUUCUCUCUCUUUAACCCCAUCAAAACCCUAUCAGACCAUACAUUAAUCCACAUACCCCACAAAAACACCAAUAGCCCACCAAAAAAUUUCCACCAGAACCGCCCAUCAGUGUGAUAAUUCUCCUUGUAAUGAGACACCCACCUAGCUUGCAAGUAAGCAUUCAAUAAAUUAAACCCAAAAGCCAUCAGGGCCACACUCACUGGAAAUCCAGUACCAGAUUUGGUAUUCCGCUGAGUGGUACUCAGGUAAAGGCUAAGAGGGUAGAGGCAGGUGCGGUGGAAAUAGUGGAUGAGAAAAGGAGACAUAAGAAUCAGUGCUUUGGAAUUCGUGGCAUGUUGGCCGAAAGGAAAGAGGAGAAGGGUAAGCCAGAGA
rnacentral:misc_RNA from 1 species